CUCCGGCCCGGGGGGACUGGGGCUUUUUUUCUGAUCUGGAUUGGCCUGGGCUUGGACAUCUAACUCCGCGACUCUUGAGAGAAUGUUGAAAUGAUCGCCUUGAACAUAUUUUGGUGUAAAUCCACCGGACCUGAUCUGCAAAUCAUCCUAGGGCCAGAUCGAGCUGAAACAAGUUCCCUAAACCCACCUUGGGCCGGACGCAUGAGCCUGGAGAGAGCUCAGGAGGAAG